rnacentral:tRNA from 1 species
UCAUAAGAAACUAAUUUUAUAGUGCUUCACUGUUAAUGAAGUUAAGGCUUACCCCCUUAUGAU